rnacentral:rRNA from 1 species
GCAUAUCAAUAAGCGGAGGAAAAGAAACCAACCGGGAUUGCCUCAGUAACGGCGAGUGAAGCGGCAAGAGCUCAAAUUUGAAAGCUGGCUCCUUCGGAGUCCGCAUUGUAAUUUGCAGAGGAUGCUUUGGGUGCGGCCCCCGUCUAAGUGCCCUGGAACGGGCCGUCAGAGAGGGUGAGAAUCCCGUCUUGGGCGGGGUGUCCGUGCCCGUGUAAAGCUCCUUCGACGAGUCGAGUUGUUUGGGAAUGCAGCUCUAAAUGGGUGGUAAAUUUCAUCUAAAGCUAAAUACUGGCCGGAGACCGAUAGCGCACAAGUAGAGUGAUCGAAAGAUGAAAAGCACUUUGAAAAGAGAGUUAAACAGCACGUGAAAUUGUUGAAAGGGAAGCGCUUGCGACCAGACUCGCCCGCGGGGUUCAGCCGGCAUUCGUGCCGGUGUACUUCCCCGUGGGCGGGCCAGCGUCGGUUUGGGCGGCCGGUCAAAGGCCCCUGGAAUGUAGUGCCCUCCGGGGCACCUUAUAGCCAGGGGUGCAAUGCGGCCAGCCUGGACCGAGGAACGCGCUUCGGCACGGACGCUGGCAUAAUGGUCGUAAACGACCCGUCUUGAAACACGGACCAAGGAGUCUAACAUCUACGCGAGUGUUCGGGUGUCAAACCCGUGCGCGCAGUGAAAGCGAACGGAGGUGGGAGCCCCCUUGCGGGGCGCACCAUCGACCGAUCCUGAUGUCUUCGGAUGGAUUUGAGUAAGAGCGUAGCUGUGGGGACCCGAAAGAUGGUGAACUAUGCCUGAAUAGGGCGAAGCCAGAGGAAACUCUGGUGGAGGCUCGCAGCGGUUCUGACGUGCAAAUCGAUCGUCAAAUUUGGGUAUAGGGGCGAAAGACUAAUCGAACCAUCUAGUAGCUGGUUCCUGCGA